rnacentral:lncRNA from 1 species
UAUAGAAAACCGUACACCCUUCCAUAACAUAAAUAAUGAGAACGUACAUUUGUUUAUUUUUUAUACUUCUCGUACUAAUUUUGAAACAAUGUAUUCAUUUUACCGCGUUUCGGGAAACAUCGAGAAAAUGUUGUCUACAAGGAACGUUUUAAAGGGUUAUGGCCCCUUAUGUUGCCAUGUGAAUUACGAAUUUUUAAAACUGCAAGUGUAUCAAAACAUGCACAAAUAAUGAAUAAUGAAGAUAGGCCAUUUUGUACAUAUACCUAGGGGAAAAUUCGUGCAAAGCAUUAUUAUUUAUUGUUUCAU